rnacentral:rRNA from 1 species
GACGAACGCUGGCGGCGUGCUUAACACAUGCAAGUCGAAUGGAAAGGCCCCUUUGGGGGUACUCGAGUGGCGAACGGGUGAGUAACACGUGAGUAACCUGCCCUUGACUUCGGGAUAACUUCAGGAAACUGGGGCUAAUACCGGAUAGGAAUCCUUGCUGCAUGGUGGGGGUUGGAAAGCUUCGGCGGUUUUGGAUGGACUCGCGGCUUAUCAGCUUGUUGGUGGGGUAGUGGCUUACCAAGGCUUUGACGGGUAGCCGGCCUGAGAGGGCGACCGGCCACAUUGGGACUGAGAUACGGCCCAGACUCCUACGGGAGGCAGCAGUGGGGAAUAUUGCACAAUGGGCGGAAGCCUGAUGCAGCAACGCCGCGUGCGGGAUGACGGCCUUCGGGUUGUAAACCGCUUUCAGCAGGGGCGAAGCUUGUGGUGACGGUACCUGCAGAAGAAGCACCGGCUAACUACGUG